rnacentral:rRNA from 1 species
GACGAACGCUGGCGGCGUGCCUAAUACAUGCAAGUAGAACGCACAGUUUAUACCUUAGCUUGCUACACCAUACACUGUGAGUUGCGAACGGGUGAGUAACGCGUAGGUAACCUGCCUGGUAGCGGGGGAUAACUAUUGGAAACGAUAGCUAAUGCCGCAUAAUAUUGAUUAUUGCAUGAUAAUUGAUUGAAAGAUGCUAUUGCAUCACUACCAGAUGGACCUGCGUUGUAUUAGCUAGUAGGUGAGGUAACGGCUCACCUAGGCGACGAUACAUAGCCGACCUGAGAGGGUGAUCGGCCACACUGGGACUGAGACACGGCCCAGACUCCUACGGGAGGCAGCAGUAGGGAAUCUUCGGCAAUGGACGAAAGUCUGACCGAGCAACGCCGCGUGAGUGAAGAAGGUUUUCGGAUCGUAAAGCUCUGUUGUAAGAGAAGAACGGGUGUGAGAGUGGAAAGUUCACACUGUGACGGUAUCUUAACAGAAAGGGACGGCUAACUACGUG